GAUGAACGCUGGCGGCGUGCUUAACACAUGCAAGUCGAACGGAGGUAGGGGCAACUCUACUUCAGUGGCGGACGGGUGAGGAAUGCGUCGGAAUCUACCCUAUGGUGGGGGAUAACACAGGGAAACUUGUGCUAAUACCGCAUAAUGUCGAGAGACCAAAGCAGGGGACCGCAAGGCCUUGCGCGAUAGGAUGAGCCGACGCCCGAUUAGCUUGUUGGUAGGGUAAUGGCCUACCAAGGCGACGAUCGGUAGCUGGUCUGAGAGGAUGAUCAGCCACACUGGGACUGAGACACGGCCCAGACUCCUACGGGAGGCAGCAGUGGGGAAUAUUGGACAAUGGGCGCAAGCCUGAUCCAGCAAUGCCGCGUGUGUGAAGAAGGCCUGCGGGUUGUAAAGCACUUUUGUUCGGGAAGAAAUCAUGCUGGUUAAUACCUGGUAUGGAUGACGGUACCGAAAGAAUAAGCACCGGCUAACUUCGUG
rnacentral:rRNA from 1 species